rnacentral:rRNA from 1 species
UACGUAGGUGGCAAGCGUUGUCCGGAUUUACUGGGCGUAAAGAGCGCGCAGGCGGUCGUUCAAGUCGCGUGUGAAAGCCCCCGGCUCAACUGGGGAGGGUCACGCGAUACUGAUCGACUGGAAGGCAGGAGAGGGUAGUGGAAUUCCCGGUGUAGUGGUGAAAUGCGUAGAUAUCGGGAGGAACACCGGUGGCGAAGGCGGCGACCUGGGUCGAGACUGACGCUGAGGCGCGAAAGCGUGGGGAGCAAACAGG